rnacentral:rRNA from 1 species
UGGGGAAUAUUGGACAAUGGACCGAGAGUCUGAUCCAGCAAUUCUGUGUGCACGAUGAAGUUUUUCGGAAUGUAAAGUGCUUUCAGUUGGGAAGAAAGAAAUGACGGUACCAACAGAAGAAGUGACGGCUAAAUACGUGCCAGCAGCCGCGGUAAUACGUAUGUCACGAGCGUUAUCCGGAUUUAUUGGGCGUAAAGCGCGUCUAGGUGGUUAUGUAAGUCUGAUGUGAAAAUGCAGGGCUCAACUCUGUAUUGCGUUGGAAACUGUAUAACUAGAGUACUGGAGAGGUAAGCGGAACUACAAGUGUAGAGGUGAAAUUCGUAGAUAUUUGUAGGAAUGCCGAUGGGGAAGCCAGCUUACUGGACAGAUACUGACGCUAAAGCGCGAAAGCGUGGGUAGCAAACAGGAUUAGAUACCCUGGUAGUCCACGCUGUAAACGAUGAUUACUAGGUGUUGGGGGUCGAACCUCAGCGCCCAAGCAAACGCGAUAAGUAAUCCGCCUGGGGAGUACGUACGCAAGUAUG